rnacentral:rRNA from 1 species
UACGUAGGGACCGAGCGUUGUCCGGAAUCAUUGGGCGUAAAGAGCGUGUAGGCGGCUAGCUAAGUCUUGCGUGAAAUCUCGGGGCUCAACCCCGAGCGGUCGUGAGAAACUGGCGGGCUAGAGUGCGGGAGAGGAGAGUGGGAUUCCUGGUGUAGCGGUGAAAUGCGCAGAUAUCAGGAAGAACACCCAUGGCGAAGGCGGCUUACUGGGCUGUAACUGACGCUGAGGCACGAAAGUGUGGGGAUCAAACAGG